rnacentral:rRNA from 1 species
GACGAACGCUGGCGGCGUGCCUAACACAUGCAAGUCGAACGGAGAUACGAUUUCGGUUGUAUCUUAGUGGCGAACGGGUGAGUAACGCGUGAGCAACCUGACUCUUAGAGGGGGAUAACACUCGGAAACGAGUGCUAAUACCGCAUAAGACCACGACAUGGCAUCAUGACGAGGUCAAAGGAGCAAUCCGCUGAGAGAGGGGCUCGCGUCCCAUUAGAUAGAUGGCGGGGUAACGGCCCACCAUGUCGACGAUGGGUAGCCGAGCUGAGAGGCUGAUCGGCCACACUGGAACUGAGACACGGUCCAGACUCCUACGGGAGGCAGCAGUGGGGAAUAUUGGGCAAUGGGCGGAAGCCUGACCCAGCGACGCCGCGUGGGGGAAGAGUCUUUCGGGGAUGUA